rnacentral:tRNA from 1 species
AAGUAUGAAGCGAUUUAUUGCAUUUAGUUUCGACCUAACCUUAGGUACACCUUACCCUUACUU